UGGGGAAUAUUGCACAAUGGGCGCAAGCCUGAUGCAGCCAUGCCGCGUGUAUGAAGAAGGCCUUCGGGUUGUAAAGUACUUUCAGUCGGGAGGAAGGUGUCAAGGUUAAUAACCUUGGCAAUUGACGUUACCGACAGAAGAAGCACCGGCUAACUCCGUGCCAGCAGCCGCGGUAAUACGGAGGGUGCAAGCGUUAAUCGGAAUUACUGGGCGUAAAGCGCACGCAGGCGGUUGAUUGAGUCAGAUGUGAAAUCCCCGGGCUUAACCCGGGAAUUGGAACUGAUACUGGUCAACUAGAGACUUGUAGAGGGGGGUAGAAUUCCAUGUGUAGCGGUGAAAUGCGUAGAGAUGUGGAGGAAUACCGGUGGCGAAGGCGGCCCCCUGGACAAAGACUGACGCUCAGGUGCGAAAGGGUGGGGAGCAAACAGG
rnacentral:rRNA from 1 species